GGAAAAACAAAUUUCAGUGUUAUUUCCUGACAAAGGAGCCCUGUGUGGAUCUUCCUCCUUCACAGCCGGGGCAUGUCGUGCCCUGCAAACACUUCCCUUUGGUGUGAUUUCCUACUUCUUGUGCUCCUGAAGUAAACCAUGAAUCUAGAACUUCUGUAGGCUCCGAUUAUUUCAUACUGUAAACAGGAAGUCAAUGCCACAGGGUGAGUGGCACCUGAAACGCAAAGCCUCUGCUAUUUCAGCAGCAGCAGCAGCAGCAGCAGCAACAACAACAACAGCAACAACAAGAAAAAUUAACAUUACAGGCUACCAAAUUAUUUACCCAAAAAUGAGAGCUGAAAGGGCAUGGCGUGUGCUGAUGUCUUCUUGAAGGACCACUACCACACAGGACGAGCAGCCCCGCGAGCCACUCUCUACCUCCCUUGAGAUGCAUGAGGAACAGACAACAGCAACUUUUGGAGAUCCCCUGGUGACAGAGAGGCUGUGGGCAGUCUAGGCCUCUCACACAAUAUACAGGCUAAAAUAUGAAGCAAACUGGCAAGGUUCCCACCAGACAAAGAGGCCAUUUGGUCCCGUUGAGGGCAGAAUGAAGAUUCUAAGUAUGCCAUGAGGCUAGCACCUGCUCUGGGGCCAGGAGGUCGACAGGGCCACGGAGGAGGCCAAUCUCCUGCUCCCUCUCAGCUGCAAUCCCAGAAGGCCUGAAGUUAUCUCUGCCCAAAACCUGGUUGCCUUGGCUGACAGGAAGGAAGUGAUCUUUCCCAGGAUUCCAGCAGACCUAAGGCCAGGACCGGGAGGGCAGGUGGAUCCUCAGCCCAGCUCCAGUCUUCAGUGGGAGGCGAUUAAAGGAUUAAAAUUUGCAGGCAAAGCAACGGAGAUCCAAACCCUCCCCUCCCCUCCUUGUAACUGAGAAGAUAAAAGCUGUUUCCUUUCAAAGCUUCAGGUUAGAGUUGGAAGUAUUAGCCAAUAUGUAAUCUUAUAGCCCGGCACUCAGCUGAGAGGGGAGAAGCAAGGAUAGCCAAGUGUCAAUCUGCAUUUAGAAAGAAAGAAAAAAAAGUUAACCCUUGAAACCCUCCAUCUGAAAACGAAGAAAUGUCGUUUCUCAAGCGAUGGUUCCCAAACAGGAAAAAGGCAGUUGGAGAUACCUGUCACAACUGGAGGAAGUCGGGUGCCCCUGCCGUCUAGCAGGUGGCAGGUGGGGUAGAUUCUACUGAAUACUCAACGUAUAGGGUAAGAGUGCUGGACGGGCCCACGGGUCCAGAGCGCAGGGGCUUGGGCUGGAAAUGUAGCUCAAGGUACAAUGUUUGCUCUGUGUGCAGAAAGCCUGGGUGAAGAUGCACAAUUGCAGUCCCAGAUCGUGGGAGAUGGCGACAAGAGGAUCUGAAACUUAAGGUCAUUCUCAGCCACAUAGUGAGUCUGAAGCCAGAGGGAACUAUAAGACACUGUCACUAAAAGACAGGGAGAGGCAGGGUUUUGAGAAUCCCGGAUGGGAUGAUUCCAUUCUGGUGUAUGUCCUCAUUCAUCCAAUAGGGGGCGUCCCCUCACACCACAGCCAUUCCCAAGGAACCCCGGCCCAACCCUCUAAGUGCAUCCUCAGGAAUCCUUGCCUGCUCGCCCUUCCUCCUGGACUGUUCCACAUGGGAAAGUACACACUCGAGGAGCGCUGUCUCCCCACCCAGGAUAAUUGAUUGCCAGGAAGAACUGCCUUUGCGGUCAGAGAGAGGACUUAGGAGGCACGUGAAAACCUAUCUGUGUCUUUCUUUGUAAACAAGUUGUUUAGCCGUCUCGGCUUUCCAUCUAAACAGCUGCAGACUCGCUCUAUCAGACUCCGUGUUUUCAAAAUAAGACCCUGCACUUACCACUCUGUUAGCACUUUGGAAAUGAGACAGUUCGGCAACAUUGGCGCCAGGACAGCUGGGUGCUUAGUGACACCAUCAGGGAGAAUCUUGACUUAGUGUUGUCAGUAGGACACACUUUUCAGUACAUCUCUGUGUAGUCUAGGAGGAGACGGGGAAGCCACAGCUCAUAGCUUCCGAUUGCAAGAGUCUUCUUGCAAAGGGCUCGGGGUUCACGAUUCUAAUCAGGUGGAGGUACAAGUAAAAGUGCUGGUUCACAGCUCGGUGUUCCCAGAGAAACCAGAAGGAGAGCCAGGAAGAAGGCAGUACACCAUGCAGUCUGCCCAGGACUCUUUAUGGAAAGAUUAUUGAUCUUUUGAUUGCCUUCGUCUGGUAAGAAAAAGAGGUAUUAGCUAUAUUUUUGUGGACUGACUAUAUUCAUUACGGUGUUAUACCUGGCCUGACUACAUCUCUGUCUUUCUCCACCAUUAUGCCCGCCACAGAACCACUUGGACAUCUUUCUCCCCGACCACCUUGCUAAAAAUAAAGUCCCUCCCCAGCUCCGAAAAAAAAGAACCAAAAAAAAAUAAAUAAAUAAAGUCCCAAUUCAAUACAAGAGUGUCUGGCUGUACACGAGACCCUCCCAAGGGCCGCACCACACGUUUACUCCCUUCUGAAAUCUGCCUUUGUCUCUUUGGAGGGGAUAUUGGCUCCUUUAUGAUUGGGUGGGUACACGACAAUCUAUGCACAUAAUUUAUCUGUGACGGUAGAUCUACCGAGAAACACUUCGGUAAAACUUUGAUAUUUAAUUAUUUUUGUAAGAAGCUUUAUACAAAUGCUAGAGAGAAAAGUCGGGUUACCUGAUAGAUUUACCCACUCGACAUUUGUGUGUGCAGUCUGCACAUGUGUGGAUUUAUAAAACUGGCGGCUGUAAGAUACACUGUUUCACUUGCUGCUUUACUUGUGUUUGAGACAAUGGUUUACAUCAUGACAUAACGACUUGUGGAUUCUUUCUUAUAAGUGUUAAAUAUUGUACCAUAGAUGCAUAGGUUACCAAAGCUAAAGACCCAGUUCUAUCAGCGGUUCAAAGUUGAUAGCUUUGAUCAGCACACUCUGCGAAGGACAACUUUCCCUUACCCACCGUGACUGCCCCGGGAUUCACAUGGCGAAAGUUAGGAUGCUUUCUUUCUUUCUCAUUAACAUUGCCAACAUUUAAUAGUCUAAUACCAGUGUAAUACCACUUCAUAGAUUAUAAGGACAAUGAGACUUUGUGCAUGUGUCUGUGCAUGUGUUUAUGGGUAUGUCUAUGUCUCGGUGUGCAUUUGUCGGUGUGUACUAGUGUAGCCACAUGUGCAUGCAUCUUUGUAGCUGUGCAUACACACACUCAACGUAUGCUUUCAUUUAUUUGACUUAAAGCAAUAUAUCCCUAAAUGCUGAACAGAGAAACCUCCCAGAGGAGACCAGCCUCUUCCCCUUUGCAGAAGGGUUGCAGAAAGGGAGAGCCAGUUGGAGACAUGCAUUCUCACAGGAUGAUUUAACAAGGAGGUUGGCUCAUGGAGCUGCAGAGACUCACCAGUCCCUCAGUUUGCCAUAAACAAGUGGAAAGUCAGGAAAACUGUGGCAUAACUUGUUCAAUCCAUGGGAUUGAGACUAAGGGCUUUAAUAUCUAAGGUCAAUAAAAGAUGGAUGUCCCCGAGUCCAGGGUCAGCAGGGACUGAUUUCACAUAGAUAGAGGGCAAGAAGUGAUGGAUGUCCCAUAGUUCAAGGGUGGGAGGAGCUGAUGUCUCAUAGUCCAAGGGCAGAAGGGGUUGAUGUCUCAUAGUCUAAGGGCAGGAGGGAUGAAUGUCUCAUAGUUCAAGGGCAGGAGGGAUGAGUGUUCCAUAAUCCAAGAAAGAGUUGAUGUCUCAUAGUCCAAGGGCAGAAAAGGAUGGAUAUUCCAGAGUGUACAGGAAGGAGGGAUGACUGUCUCAUAGUCCAAGGGUAGGAGAGGUGGAUAUCUCAUGGUCCAAGGGUGGGAAGGGAUAGAUAUCUCUGAGUCCAAGGGCAGGAAGAGUAGAUGACCCAGAAUCCCAGGAGAAAUAGAUGUCCAUUCUCAUAAGAGAAAAUGUGUCCUUCCUCAAACCCUUGUUCUCUUCAGACCUUUUGGUAAUUCACUGAAGCGCACAUGUUGGCGAGGGCCACCUGUGUCCUCUCUACUGGUCCAGACACCCAUUCCUUCCAGAAACCCCUUCCCAGACACACUAUACAUGUUUUCCCAUAUGUAUGGGCAUCCCUGGGCACAGUCAGGCUGAUACACAGAAUUAACUCACCAUCACAUCCAACAGAAGAAAGUCUCACCAAAGAUAAAGCUUCAGUCUUCCUCUUUCUGGUAAUGUGGGGGUGCUUGACUUUAGAGAGUAGUUUCAACUGAACCAAUUGAUUCCCCCAUCCAGAUUUACAUAUCAAUGUCACCUCACCAAUUAGACUAGGCCUUAAUCAGAGCAUCCCAGGGAUCUACCUAUUCUGCCUCUCCAGGUCUGGGAUUGCAAGCACAUACAGCCAUGGCUGGCAUUUGUUUACACAGUUUCUGAAAGUGUUUUGCCAACUAAAUCAUAUUCCUCAGUCCCUUGACUGCACUUUCAUAUCUCUCCAAAUUUCAUACUUUGAAAUCUUUGUCCUCACAGUGACACUUUUAGGAGGACACCAUGGGAGUUGAUUGGGAGGGUGAGGGUGACGCCAUUAAUGCCUUUCAGGAAGCUCCAGUGAGCUUGCUCAUGCCUGCCACGUGAGGCCACUGUGAGGAGAUCGUCUAGCCGGAAGCGGGUCCACAUCAGAUACUAAAUAUGCUAGUUGUUCAAUCCUAGACUCCCCAGCACCAAGAGGUGAAAGGGUCAGCCCCAGAGCUCACAGUCAUCAUUCUAGGGUACUUUAGUUACAGCAGCCAGAAGCAUCUGAAGGCAAUAGAUAGCGAAGGGAAAUUGAUGAAGCAAUAACAUAUUCCGUGGAGGGGCCUGGUCCUCAGAGACUCUUUCUCUGAUCCAUGGACAGAAGGGGCAGGGAAAUAAUUAGUUUUUCCAACAGCAAAAGCCUGGUCAGAUUCACUGCCAUUAGCCCAAGCUCCAGUAGCACAGUCCAGACAGAUUUGUUUCCUGGUGAGGAACUUGUUUCCUGGUUUCUCACAGACCAAAGAGAACAGUGGUUUCUCUCCUGUCUAAGCAGGGCAUUGACCUCAGUGAAGAACACACUAUCCUGUGGUAGUUGAAUGAGACUACCCCAUAGUCUCUGACGUUUGAGCAUUUGGUCCCCAGUUGAUA
rnacentral:sRNA from 1 species